CUAAUAGCACUGAGAGCCUGCCCGCUGGCAAAAGGAAAGCCCGCUAAUACCUACACAGACGGCCGCCAUGCUUCUGGGGGGGACCACGACUUGGGUAUGCUUUGGCAACAGGAUUUCUAACAUCCCGAGGACAGUCUGUUAAAAAUGGAUGCCAUUCUGCUGCCAGGUGCACUUGCCAUUAAGCCUCCCAGCAACCUUACUGACAUGGUCAAGUUUCAAGGAAUGGCACCAGAAAACAGACACCUGGACACACAAGGGAGGCAGCCUGAACUCACACAAAGCUGUGGAUACACCCAGACGGGAGGCCUAUCCUUCCCUUUGAAGCUCAAUAUCCUAUUUUGCAAUAUGUUCACGAGUUAACACAUUGGAACCCAGAUGCCCUAUGACCUACAACCAGGAGACUCUAUACUGGAAAAGGCAUCAUUUAAAGGACUCUCUCCAGCCUCGAUGGAAGUCCCUAUCAGGUUCUUUUAAGUAGCUCAUGCACAGCAAAAUCGAAGGUAACUGACUCUUGGAUUCGUAUUUCCCACCUAAAGAGGCACCGUCUGGUCUAUAGAGAGGACUGCUGACCUCAAACUCACCUUAAAGCGAUGCUCUGAUAGGAAAGAAACACCAACGCCAGGACGGGAAGAC